rnacentral:misc_RNA from 1 species
AGCAGCCGCGGUAAUUCCAGCUCCAAUAGCGUAUAUUAAAGUUGUUGCAGUUAAAAAGCUCGUAGUUGAAUUUCGGGAUCAAUAUGUCGGUCGUGCCUUCGGUACGUACUGGUAUCAUUGGUCUCUCCUUUCUGACGAACCAUGAUGUCAUUAAUUUGGUGUUAUGGGGAGUUAGGACUGUUACUUUGAAAAAUUAGAGUGUUUAAAGCAGGCUUUAGCUUGAAUACAUUAGCAUGGAAUAAUGAAAUAGGACGUUCGAACCUAUUUUGUUGGUUUCUAGGAUCAACGUAAUGAUUAAUAGGGAUAGUUGGGGGCAUUAGUAUUCAAUUGUCAGAGGUGAAAUUCUUGGAUUUAUUGAAGACUAACUACUGCGAAAGCAUUUGCCAAGGAUGUUUUCAUUAAUCAAGAACGAAAGUUAGGGGAUCGAAGACGAUCAGAUACCGUCGUAGUCUUAACCAUAAACUAUGCCGACUAGGGAUCGGAUGAUGUUAAUUUUUAAUGUACUCAUUCGGCGCCUUAC